CAAAGUGACUGAAGUUUAAUAAUAUUGGAAGAAAGUAAUUCGUACUCCGUAUGGCGACGAGAUAAGAAACCAUGAGCAACGGCUUGAAAGCUCCUGACUCUCUUCCGAGACAGAAGAAAACGAGUCCUAUAGUAAUUAACAGCAAACGCUUCAUACAAAAGAUGUGCUGCAUGUUUCAAAGCUUUGUCUCUCGCACUCUCUAAAAGGGGCGUCACACCUGAACGAAAAAAUAUUUUAGUUUUGCCAAUUUGAUAUUUAGUCGGAUCAGCAUGUUUCUCUAAAAUUGCCUUGCUAAAGGUCAAAGACUCCGUAGUUCUUACGGCAGAGGGAACCAACAUGUAAUAACGAGAAACAAACUCAUCAAAAGUCCAACGGG